GACGAACGCUGGCGGCGUGCUUAACACAUGCAAGUCGAACGGAAAGGCCCUGCUUUUGUUUGUUGCUCGAGUGGCGAACGGGUGAGUAACACGUGAGUAACCUGCCUUUGACUUUGGGACAACUUCAGGAAACUGGUGCUAAUACCGGAUAGGCGCUCCUCCUGCAUGCUGGGGGUUGGAAAGUUUCGGCGCUUCGUGAUGGGCUCGCGGCUUCUCAGUUUGUUGUUGGGGUAGUGGCUUACCAACGCUUUGACGGGUAGUCGGCCGGCGAGGGGGAGCGGAAACAUUAGGACUGAGAUGCGGCACAGACCAGUAUGGGAGGGAACGGAGGGGAGUAGUGCACAAUGGGAGGAAGCAAGAUGCGGCAAAGCGGCGUGGGGGAGAAGGGGCAGGGGGUUGGAAAGCGAUUUCGCCUGGGAGGAAGAGAGAGUGACGGUAAUGGAUAAAGAAGCAACGGCUAACUACGUG
rnacentral:rRNA from 1 species